rnacentral:rRNA from 1 species
UACGUAGGGUGCGAGCGUUGUCCGGAAUCACUGGGCGUAAAGCGCACGUAGGCGGAUGUGUCAGUCAGGGGUGAAAUCCCGGAGCUCAACUUCGGAACUGCCCUUGAUACAGCACGUCUUGAGUCCGGAAGAGGUGGGUGGAAUUCCUAGUGUAGAGGUGAAAUUCGUAGAUAUUAGGAAGAACACCAGUGGCGAAGGCGGCUCACUGGUCCGGUACUGACGCUGAGGUGCGAAAGCGUGGGGAGCAAACAGG